UACGUAGGGUGCAAGCGUUGUCCGGAAUUAUUGGGCGUAAAGAGCUCGUAGGCGGUUUGUCGCGUCUGCUGUGAAAACCCGAGGCUCAACCUCGGGCCUGCAGUGGGUACGGGCAGACUAGAGUGCGGUAGGGGGAGAUUGGAAUUCCUGGUGUAGCGGUGGAAUGCGCAGAUAUCAGGAGGAACACCAAUGGCGAAGGCAGAUCUCUGGGCCGUAACUGACGCUGAGGAGCGAAAAGCGUGGGGGAGCAAACAGG
rnacentral:rRNA from 1 species